CCCUCCUCCACCGCAGGCAGAGCCUGCUGCAGAGUGAGCUGCAGCCUUGCCUGGCUCUGCACCAAGCCCGAGGAGAACGCCAGCCAGGCGGGCGCUGACAGCGUGCAGCGUGCAGACGGAGGAGGUCACCUGCCCGGGAGUCUGUCCCCAUUUGUCAGCCUAAAAAUCGGCAUUCCCUGACGUGUGAAAUAGUAAUAACUGUAGCGAAAGCAACGAAACGACGUGCCGCUGUGUGGUCGUCACACUAUGUCAACCCCAGACUCUGCGUUCCUGCUCACGGCUCCCAUCCACCUCCCUGGUGGACCCCAAAUAAGAGACACCUGAGUGGGCAGCCCCCGGCCGGGGAGGUGGGUUUCGAUAGGACAAUUAAAAAGGUUAGCGUUUCCAUGAUUAGUUUAUGCUUCACCCCACGUUUCAGUUAAAGAUUAAGUCUUUGCAGCAGAUUUUAGCUCAAAGGCAGGUUGGGGAGGGAGGUGGGCUAUUUUCUUUCUUUUAAACCAAACAACCCCUCGUAGAUAGAGUUGGUUUAUUUUUAACAGGGACAGAAGCACUGUGGGAAGCUGGUUUCUAGAUUUAAUUUCAGCUGCAAAUGAAAGAUGCAGCCUGGAUUGUCCGUAAUGAAAAGAGUGUGCCGGGUGGGGGGCUCUGAGAGGGGGACAGUUCCCCCAGCACGGCAACCCCAGCUGCAGGGGGGGCUGCAGCCUUCUCUCUGGCCUCACCUCUAGGCAGGGGGUGCAGGGGGGACCAGUGCACAUAAAGUGGUCCCUAUCUUCACAGAGGGCAUCCGCUAGGAGAGACAGAGGCAGAAACAACUAAGAGAAGCCCAGGCGGCAAUAAACACAAUAAGUGACAUCCAGGAAUGACAGAUGCACCUGCAGGAGUUGGGCAGGGAGACGGGAGACCUAGAGCAAAUCUUCCAACAGCCCAAAUGAAAGAAAUAAGGAGCACGUCUGCGUAAACGAACGGGAAGAAUCUCCAGGACCGCCUGUCGGCCGGAAAAACAAGAUGCAAAAACAGACUGUGUUAAAAGCAAGUUUAGGAAAUAAAUUAUGUAUAAGGAUGCCAUGAAAAUUUGGGGAAAAUACAUUUCUAUAUAGUCUGUAAAUGUAUUGUUAAAAGGCCUCCAUGUGUAUACUCGAACCAAUAAUGGUCUUUAGGAUGGGACAAGAGGGAUUUGGGUUUCGGGUUGGAGGUCAGAGUGGACUUUAGUCUUUUUCUGUAAUUUCUUUUUCGUUAAGAAUA